CCAGCAGCUGCGGUAAUUCCAGCUUCAGGGGCGAAUAUUAACGUUGUUGCGGUCAAAAAGCUCGUAGUCGAAUUUUUUGUGGGUGGCGUGUGAUUUGAUUGGGUGUAAACUCUUCAUGGUAGCACGCUGCUGGCAAUCUCUGGAGUCCUCGGACUCCUCUUUCACUGUAAAAAAAUUAGAGUGUUUCAAACAGGUCGUAGGGCCUGAAUAGAAUAGUAUGGAAUGAUAAGAUACGAUGUUUUUCGUACUUGUUGGUUUAUGGAAGAACAUAAUGAUGAAUAGACGCGGUGGGAGGAUUUUGUAUUACCAUGUCAGAGGUGAAAUUCUUGGAUUUUGGAAAGACAAACAAAAGCGAAGGCAUUAUUUCCGACGACGCCGUCAUUGAUCAAGAACGAAAG
rnacentral:rRNA from 1 species